GAUGAACGCUGGCGGCGUGCCUAACACAUGCAAGUCGAGCGAUGAAACCGCCUCCGGGCGGACAUGAAGCGGCGAACGGGUGAGUAACACGUGACCGACCUGCCCCCCGCCCAGGGACAACCCCCCGAAAGGGGGAUUAAUACCUGGUACUCCGGCAAGGACGCAUGUCCUGGCCGGGAAAGCCUUGGCGGCGGGGGAUGGGGUCGCGGCCCAUCAGGUAGACGGCGGGGCAGAGGCCCACCGUGCCGACGACGGGUAGCCGGGUUGAGAGACCGACCGGCCACAUUGGGACUGAGAUACGGCCCAGACUCCUACGGGAGGCAGCAGUGGGGAAUUUUGCGCAAUGGGGGCAACCCUGACGCAGCAGCGCCGCGUGCGGGACGAAGGCGUCCGCGUCGUAAACCGCUUUCAGCGGGGAACACUUCAACGAGGGUACCCGCAGAAGAAGCCCCGGCUAAAUACGUGCCAGCCGCCGCAGUAAAAC
rnacentral:rRNA from 1 species